CACAUGCAAGUCGAGGGACCGGCGCACGGGUGAGUAACGCGUAUCCAACCUUCCGUACACUCAGGGAUAGCCUUUCGAAAGAAAGAUUAAUACCUGAUGGUGUACGAUGGGGAUGCGUUCCAUUAGGUAGUAGGCGGGGUAACGGCCCACCUAGCCAACGAUGGAUAGGGGUUCUGAGAGGAAGGUCCCCCACAUUGGAACUGAGACACGGUCCAAACUCUACGGGAGGCAGCAGUGAGGAAUAUUGGUCAAUGGACGAGAGUCUGAACCAGCCAAGUAGCGUGAAGGGUGAAGGUCUACGGAUUGUAAACUUCUUUUAUAAGGGAAUAUGUACCUUAUGAAUAAGCAUCGGCUAACUCCGUGCCAGCAGCCGCGGUAAUACGGAGGAUGCGAGCGUUAUCCGGAUUUAUUGGGUUUAAAGGGAGCGCAGACGGGUCGUUAAGUCAGCUGUGAAAGUUUGGGGCUCAACCUUAAAAUUGCAGUUGAUACUGGCGUCCUUGAGUG
rnacentral:rRNA from 1 species